GCCGGGAUACCAAAGCGGUCAAAUGGAGCUGACUGUAAAUCAGCUGGCGUAAGCCUACGGGGGUCCGAAUCCCUCUCCCGGCA
rnacentral:tRNA from 1 species